rnacentral:rRNA from 1 species
GACGAACGCUGGCGGCGUGCUUAACACAUGCAAGUCGAACGGAAAGGCCCGGCUUUUGUGGGGUGCUCGAGUGGCGAACGGGUGAGUAACACGUGAGUAAACUGCCCUUGACUUUGGGAUAACUUCAGGAAACUGGGGCUAAUACAGGGGAGGAGCUCCUGCUGCGUGGGGGGGGUUGGAAAGUGUCGGCGGUUGGGGAUGGACUCGCGGGUUAUCAGCUGGAUGGUGGGGUAGUUGCUUACCAAGGCUUUGACGGGUAGCCGGCCUGAGAGGGUGACCGGCCACAUGGGGCCUGAGAUACGGCCCAGACUCCUACGGGAGGCAGCAGGGGGGAAUAUGGCACAAUGGGCGGAAGUCUGAUGUAGCAACGUCGCGUGCGGGAUGCCCUCCUUCUUGUUGUAAACCGCUGUCGCCUGUGACGAAGCGUGCGUGACGGUACUGGGUCAAGAAGCACCGGCUAACUACGUG